GUCAUAUCUACAGGUAGGAUCAGUCAGGUAGUAGUGUAUAGUGAGUCAUAUCUACAGGUAGGGUCAGUCAGGUAGUAGUAUAUAGUGAGUCAUAUCUCCAGGUAGGGUCAGUCAGGUAGUAGUAUAUAGUGAGUCAUAUCUACAGGUAGGGUCAGUCAGGUAGUAGUAUAUAGUGAGUCAUAUCUACAGGUAGGGUCAGUCAGGUAGUAGUAUAUAGUGAGUCAUAUCUCCAGGUAGGGUCAGUCAGGUAGUAGUAUAUAGUGAGUCAUAUCUCCAGGUAGGGUCAGUCAGGUAGUAGUAUAUAGUGAGUCAUAUCUACAGGUAGGGUCAGUCAGGUAGUAGUAUAUAGUGAGUCAUAUCUACAGGUAGGAUCAGUCAGGUAGUAGUAUAUAGUGAGUCAUAUCUACAGGUAGGGUCAGUCAGGUAGUAGUAUAUAGUGAGUCAUAUCUACAGGUAGGAUCAGUCAGGUAGUAGUAUAUAGUGAGUCAUAUCUACAGGUAGGGUCAGUCAGGUAGUAGUAUAUAGUGAGUCAUAUCUACAGGUAGGAUCAGUCAGGUAGUAGUAUAUAGUGAGUCAUAUCUACAGGUAGGGUCAGUCAGGUAGUAGUAUAUAGUGAGUCAUAUCUACAGGUAGGAUCAGUCAGGUAGUAGUAUAUAGUGAGUCAUAUCUACAGGUAGGGUCAGUCAGGUAGUAGUAUAUAGUGAGUCAUAUCUACAGGUAGGGUCAGUCAGGUAGUAGUAUAUAG